UUCCCGACAGUGCAGUGGUUAGCACACGCCGCCACAAAGGGCGAGGACGCGGGUUCCGCUUCCGCUCGAGAUU